AUUGCUUUCUGGCUUCAUCCUGCCCUCGCCUGCACCCGCACUCGCACUCGCUAGCCCGCGCCAACCAGUCACACCCAGCAAGUCACCUCUCCCUUUGCGCCUUCCCCAUUACACCAUUGCACGUUUCGCUUCAUUCUGUCUCUGUGCUUAUGUUGCUCCACACCGUUCUCUCUAUCUUUCGUGCACUCAUAUCCGCCAGUACCAGCUUUUGGCCCAUGACAUAAAAAAGUUGUGGCUGGGAUCCUGUGGAAACUGACUGCACCUUUGACAUUCAGAAUCGAUUGGACUCGUUUACAGGUCCUCUCGAGCUCGAUUGUGCCCUAACUGAGCUCCUCCACCCUCAGUCGAGCUCCUCCAUCCUAAGCUGGCUCAUCCCGUCUUUAAUUGCCCCAAUCGAAGGGCCGUCUCGUAAAACAUAUGGACUACCUCAGGAGUUUGAUAGGAAGGAUUUCGGUGAUUCCUGUCUGAGAUUCACAAUCUAAUCGACUUAAGCCUGCUCGCCCCCCAAAUUACCUAAGCUUCACUGAGCCCAUCGAAACCAAUCCACGCCGUUGCUAGUGGCUUCUCCCACUCCCAGUUGCUGCUCAAUGUCGCCCUUGUUGCUCAGCCCCUCUCUGUUAUUUCAGGAAGAUUAUAUUCGAUGUCACUGCCAAAUUUGGUUCAAAAUUUGAGAAUCUUCCGGAGUUCAAUCUGGAUUCAUGGAUUGAUCCAGAGUGCACAGUCGAGUGUGCAAAGUAGUUCUUGCCAUUGCUCCGUCACGACCCAUACCACUCCCUACUCUUCUUAAGAGCAAUAAACUUCGGUUCCCACUUCCAUCUCCAGUUGAAGAGGUAACUUCUCCGCAGUUGCUCCAUCGAAUUUCAAAUGAAUAUGCAAAUUAGGGUUCUCUGAUGCAGCUUCUCUAUCCUUGUUCCUGUAGCUUUAUAUUAUGUUCAUCGUGGAAUUGCAUCAUGUUGUUGAAUCUCACAUGCAUUUGCCAGAUAUUGUAAUGCUGGAACUAUAUUUGUGCUCCUCUCUGGAUGUGCUCUGUCAAUCUACUUCCUGCUUGUAAUCUGCAACGAACCUUCAUUAGAAGUUUUUCACUGCUUAUUUGUCUGCUGUUUUUUCAUGGAUGUUGAUAUAAGCUUCCAUUUAUGUUAAUAUAUUUGAAUAUGACUGCCAAAAUGUUGUAAUCUGUUGUGUAUGUUGUUGGUGGAGCUCUGCCUGAGAGAUGGCUCCUAAGGGUGAAGGCCUAGCACCACAGUCAAGCCGUGGGAAAGAGUCCCGUCGUCGUGUGCGGAAAAGAGUUUCCUCAACGAGCUCGCAGUUGCAGGAUUACAUAGAGUUGUUCAAGGCCAGUUUUAACAGGAAGAAGAGGUCGUCUCCCCCCCAGAUUCCAAGAGAAGCAAAUCCAUAUCGAGCUCGGAAACCAGAGAAGAACAGCAUCAAGGAGGCCAUGACUGUGUUGAAUGACAUGAAAUCCAACAUCUCCGUAGACAAAUAUCUCAUCAGUAGCACCCAUUUUGCUGAUGAGACAAUGCGGCAGCUUUUCAAGUGCUAUCUCGAUGAUGUCAGGCGGGAAUGGUUGCAUCAUCUUGUUCACCCUUGAACAGGCACGGUGCAUCUACACAUCUACUUCUAUAUUUGUUACGUCAUUUAUUUUUUAUUCCGUUAUGAUAUGCAGAGAACACUUUUUUUUAUGUCUGUUGUGUGUGAACCUGCUUUGCUAGGAUUUGUUUCCGUUUACUUAUGUGAGUAUCUCUCUGAUGUCUUUUUAAGGCUACUUUUGU